GCUUUAGUUUUAUUCCCCAUUGUUAAAAUUGACUUUGAGGCCCAAGUGCUACGUUUGCCCCAGGCCCCCGUCACAACUCGCAAGCGCUGAGGUCACAAACCCAAACAGUCUAUUUAUUUUGUAUUAUAUACCUUAUAUUUUUCUUUAUUUUCUUUUUCAGAUUGUUUUAUAGUUAUGACCUUAAUUCUAACCCUAUAGCACUUGGUAUUGCUAUAGCAACAAAAGUCAUGACAUAUACUGUAUGUUAUUUUUAUAUUAUGGAACAUAUCCUUUUCAUGCGAACUUGUUUGUCUAUAUAAUUUGCACAUUUCUUGUCCCGUAGGCGACGCGAUUUUCCGUUUCAUAACCCGCCAGGGUUAACAGUAACAAUCAGUGUGACCACUUUCAGUGUGCGUAACAUCCGGGUAAUAUGAAAAUAUCUCCAAAAUAAUACCACCCCGCGAAACACGUGUUUAAAC